rnacentral:lncRNA from 1 species
AGGGAAAGGGCAUUAAAAAUAUCACGCGCACGUCUGCGUGCGAUUUCACGGGCACACAUUUCCAGGACAGCGGGCUUCUCCUGGCGCCAUCCGGAGGGCAGUGGUAGGACAGUGAUUCAGCACAUAUGCGGUAAGGAGGUCGGUGCCCGCUCCACUCUGCGAUCUAACCUGCCUACCAAGCAGCAAAAGAUCAAGGGGCUGAGCUGCCGCAGCACGACACGACGCAAACCACUGGCUGCAAGCUUCUGUAACAGUCCAGCGCGGCCCUGGUGGUGUCUGUGCAGCCACAUGUAACCCCACCAGAUGUGCCAGCUGUUUGACCUCUUCGCCAGCGACAGUCCCUCUUAAGGUCUUUCAACAUUGCCGGACAAUGUGAAUUAAUGCUCUUCAAUAGGAUGUAUUGAUGGGUCAGGCACAACACAGCAUCUCUCACAUUAGAGGGAUUUCUUAGGAAGGAAGGUAGGAAGGAAGGAAGGAAGGGAGGGAGGGAAGGAGGUUGGAGGGAGGUUGGGAGGGGAGGGAGAGAGGGAAGGAGAGAGGGGAGGGAGGGAGAUAGGAAGGGGGAAGAUAGAAAGGGAGGAGUGAGGACGGAACAGAGGGAAGGAGGGAGGGAGGAACUAGAUGGAAAAACAUUAAGCUUAGUUCCUUAAACAUCGACAAGAUUUUCAAAACAAAUCCGCACAUUGCUAGUUCCAGCCACUUGUUCUAUUCUGACUCCUUCCCGUCUCCUCUACGUCCAUAUUCAGUAAGGCCAUUUGAAUGGGCCAUGUGGCUUUUGUGAAGAAAAUUUUGUAAAACUGGAUGUUUUCAGAAGUUGGGUCCUUUGAUUUCUUAUCUGGCUUGUAGCGCCAUCUCUGUUUAUUUUCUCCCAGCUCUGCCAUUAUUUUCAAAACUCCUCCGUGCUAUAAUGCAUAUGAAAUUAGCUUAACUAUAAUUAUUUUUAAUGUGCGUUUCACCAGGAAACUGUGCCAGGAGUGAAGCCCCACUUGAACCAGGGUUGAUGCAUGAAGCAGUCACUAUAAAGAAAAGAAAAAGAAUUAAGCUUGAUGCCAAAAAACACUGAAAUAAAAUUAUGUUUAUAUUUUCACAGGUGGAAAGAAAACUUCAAAAACUUAAUGUGAUCAAUUACUAUAAAACAGCACCAAAAGGAUUAUGAAAAAUAAACGUGGAUGUGCUUAUGUCCAAAAUAUUAUUCUUCCUCCCUUCUUUGCUCCUUUGCUUCCUUCCUUCCCUUUCUUUCAUUUGUUCUUUCACUUUUGUCAUGGUUAUACCGGUAAGCAAAAAAAAUAAAGAGGCUUUUCCAAUUUUGAAAAUAUGAGAAGCAAGAGCCAGGGAUAUAGCUCAGUGGCAUAAGAGCCUGCCUGGCAAGUGCAAGGUCCUGAGUUCAAAUCCCAGUACCAAAAAAAAAGAAAAUAUGAAAAGUGAGAGAAAUGAGGAGGGCCCAAACAUCCUCCUGAUGAACAUGUAAUGGAAUUGUCUCCAGUACUUGCUAAAAUACUCUUGAUUGUUUUGCCGCCAAAAAAAAAUUGGUAGCAUUGUGAUGCUGGAACCUCAACCAUGUAUGUUUGAAGUUUCAACAUACUUUUAUUAUUUAAUUUCAUUUCCAUACCUCAGCCUGUCAAAAUGGGAUGAUUUCCAAACUUUAAGAACUUUUGAGGACAUUUUAUGUAUUCUUUAAAGCUGCCAUAAUUUUUCUUAACGCUGAGUUAGGAUCACUUGUGUAAGAAAAGAGAUUCAUUCACUACAUCCUGGCCAGCAACUAGUUACUCGCUCAUCAAACCGUUUUCCCUUUCUUCCCAAGUACACUGCUACACACCAGCUCAAGGAUACCCUUCCACCUGGACAGUCUUGGGAUUAGGCCUUGGGCAAAGAAAUAUGAGUAGAAAUGAUGCAGGCCACUUCCGGCCUGCACCCAUAACACCCUCCCCCGACAAUUUUUUCUCUCUCUUCCCACCUCAUACCCUCUGAACAGAGAACUUUAAGGAUCCAAGGAGGCUCCAAGAGCCUAAGUUGCUAUUUGGAGGAGAGUCGCCCAGUAGACUCAGGCAACUAGGCUAAAACCAUAAUAUGAACGACACACUUCUCAUUUUAUUUUUAAGUCCACAUUUGAAAUUUUGAAACUCUGUUAAGCAUCUUAAAAUUCUUCCAAAGCCCAUUUAAAGUUUCCUUUCUCUUCUGGGAAGGAAUGUACCUAAAUUUCCCCGGAAAGAUGAGAAAGUUAGUCCCAGUUAAUUUUGCCCUAUGCCAACUAACACACUAGUCUGAGAAAACUGGUGCUAUUCUAAAGAUCUGCACAAACGUGGGCUGGAGUG